rnacentral:rRNA from 1 species
UGGAAACAGCGGUUAGGAGCUUACACCCACCCGUGUUUACAUACUAUUGUUGCUUUGGCGGGCCGUGGCCUCCACUGCGGGCUCUGCUCGUGUGUGCCCGCCAGAGGACCAAACUCUGAAUGUUAGUGAUGUCUGAGUACUAUCUAAUAGUUAAAACUUUCAACAACGGAUCUCUUGGUUCUGGCAUCGAUGAAGAACGCAGCGAAAUGCGAUAAGUAAUGUGAAUUGCAGAAUUCAGUGAAUCAUCGAAUCUUUGAACGCACAUUGCGCCCUGUGGUAUUCCGCAGGGCAUGCCUGUUCGAGCGUCAUUUAACCACUCACGCCUAGCGUGGUAUUGGGGCACGCGGUCUCCGCGGCCCUCAAAAUUAGUGGCGGUGCCGGUGGGCUCUAAGCGUAGUACAUACUCCCGCUAUAGAGUUCCCCCCGGUGGCUCGCCAGAACCCCCAAUUUUUACAGGUUGACCUCGGAUCAGGUAGGGAUA